UGUUGAACUUGAGAUUUGGGUGUUGGUUCAACUUAAAAGUUUGGCAUUUGUUGAACUUGAGUUUGUGUGUUUGUUGAACUUAAGUUUGUGUCUUGUUUGAACUUGAGUUUUUGGUGUUUUCAAACUUGAGUUUGUGUGUUUUUUGAACUUUAGUUUUUGGUGUCUUUGAACUUGAGUUUGUGGUGUUUUUGAACUUGAGUUUGUGGUGUUUUUGAACAUGACUUUGUGGUGUUUUUGAACUUGAGGUGUUGGAAAUUGUGAAACUUGAGAAUUGGGUAUUGGUUGAACUUGAGUUUGUGUGUUUGUUGAACAAGAGAUUGUUUUGUGUUUUUACUUCAGUUUGUGGUGUUUUUUAAGCUUGAGGUUGUGGUGUUUUUGAACUUGAGUUUGUGGUGUUUUGUACUUGAGUUUGUGUUAUUUUUCAACUUGAGGUUGUGGAACUUGUUAAACUUGAGAAUCAGGUGUUGAUUGAACUUGAGUAUUUGUUUUUUUUAACUUAAGUUUGUGUCGUGUUUGAGCUUGAGUUUGUGGUGUUUUUGAAUUUGAGUUUGCGUGUUUGUUAAACUUGAGUUUGUGUUUUUUUUAACUUGAGUUUGUUGUUUCUGAACUUGAGUUUGUGGCAAUUGUUGAACUUGAGUUUGACAUUUGUUGAACUUGGGUUUGUGGUUUUUGUUGAACUUGAGUUUGUGGUGUUUUUGAACUUGAGGUUGUGGAAUUUGUUAAACUUGAGAAUUGGGUAUUGGUUGAAAUUGAGUUUGUGUGUUUGUUGAACUUGACUUUGUGUCGUGUUUGAACUUGAGUUUAUGGUUUUUUUGAACUUGAGUUUGUGGUGUUUUUGAACUUGAGGUUGUUAGAAAUUGUUAAACUUGAAAAUUUGGUAUUGGUUGAACUUGAGUUUGUGUGUUUGUUGAACUUGAGUUUGUUUCGUAUUUGAACUUCGGUUUGUGGUGUUUUUUGAGCCUGAGGUUGUGGUGUUUUUGAACUUGAGGUUGUGUUGCUUUUGAACUUUAGGUUGUGGCAAUUUCUAAAAUUGAGAUUUGGGUGUUGGUUGAACUUAAAAGUUUGUCAUUUGUUGAACUUUUUUUGUGUUUUGUGUUUUCUUUUUGAGUUUGUGGUUUUUUUUUAACUUGAGUUUGUGUCGUGUUUGAACUUGAGGUUGUGGUGUUUUUGAGCUCGAGUAUUUGUGAUUGUUGAACUUGAGUUUGUGUCAUGUUUGAACUUGAGUUUGUGGUAUUUUUUAACUUGAGUUUGUGUGUUUGUUGAACUUGAGUUGUGGCGUUUGUUGAACUCUAGGUUGUGGCAAUUGUUAAACUUGAGAUUUGGUUGUUGGUUGAACUUGAGUUUGUGUCGUGUUUGAACUUGAGUUCGUGUUGUUUGUUGAACUUGAAUUUGUGUGUUUUUUGAACUUAAUUUUUUUGAACUUGAGUAUGUGGCAAUUGUUGAACUUGAGUCUGUGGUUUUUGGUGAACUUUAAUUGGUGGCAAUUGUUGAACUUGAGUUUGUGGUGUUUUUGAACUUGAGUUUGUUUCGUGUUUGAACUUGAGUUUGUGGCGUUUGUUGAACUCUAGGUUGUGGCAAUUGUUGAACUUGAGAUUUGGGUGUUGGUUCAACUUAAAAGUUUGGCAUUUGUUGAACUUGAGUUUGUGUGUUUGUUGAACUUAAGUUUGUGUCUUGUUUGAACUUGAGUUUUUGGUGUUUUCAAACUUGAGUUUGUGUGUUUUUUGAACUUUAGUUUUUGGUGUCUUUGAACUUGAGUUUGUGGUGUUUUUGAACUUGAGUUUGAAUCGUGGUUGAACUUGAGUUUGUGGUGUUUUUGAACUUGAGUUUGUUUCGUGUUUGAACUUCGGUUUGUGGUGUUUUUUGAGCCUGAGGUUGUGGUGUUUUUGAACUUGAGGUUGUGUUGCUUUUGAACUUUAGGUUGUGGCAAUUUCUAACAUUGAGAUUUGGGUGUUGGUUGAACUUAAAAGUUUGUCAUUUGUUGAACUUGAGUUUGUGGUUUUUUUUUUACUUGAGUUUGUGUCGUGUUUGAACUUGAGGUUGUGGUGUUUUUGAGCUCGAGUAUUUGUGAUUGUUGAACUUGAGUUUGUGUCAUGUUUGAACUUGAGUUUGUGGUCUUUUUGAACUUGAGUUUGUGUGUUUGUUGAACUUGAGUUGUGGCGUUUGUUGAACUCUAGGUUGUGGCAAUUGUUAAACUUGAGAUUUGGUUGUUGGUUGAACUUGAGUUUGUGUCGUGUUUGAACUUGAGUUCGUGUUGUUUGUUGAACUUGAAUUUGUGUGUUUUUUGAACUUAAUUUUUUUGAACUUGAGUUUGUGGCAAUUGUUGAACUUGAGUCUGUGGUUUUUGGUGAACUUUAAUUGGUGGCAAUUGUUGAACUUGAGUUUGUGGUGUUUUUGAACUUGAGUUUGUUUCGUGUUUGAACUUGAGUUUGUGGCGUUUGUUGAACUCUAGGUUCUGGCAAUUGUUGAACUUGAGAUUUGGGUGUUGGUUCAACUUAAAAGUUUGGCAUUUGUUGAACUUGAGUUUGUGUGUUUGUUGAACUUAAGUUUGUGUCUUGUUUGAACUUGAGUUUUUGGUGUUUUCAAACUUGAGUUUGUGUGUUUUUUGAACUUUAGUUUUUGGUGUCUUUGAACUUGAGUUUGUGGUGUUUUUGAACUUGAGUUUGAAUCGUGGUUGAACUUGAGUUUGUGGUGUUUUUGAACUUGAGUUUGUGGUGUUUUUGAACUUGAGGUGUUGGAAAUUGUGAAACUUGAGAAUUGGGUAUUGGUUGAACUUGAGUUUGUGUGUUUGUUGAACAAGAGAUUGUUUUGUGUUUUUACUUCAGUUUGUGGUGUUUUUUAAGCUUGAGGUUGUGGUGUUUUUGAACUUGAGUUUGUGGUGUUUUGUACUUGAGUUUGUGUUAUUUUUCAACUUGAGGUUGUGGAACUUGUUAAACUUGAGAAUCAGGUGUUGAUUGAACUUGAGUAUUUGUUUUUUUUAACUUAAGUUUGUGUCGUGUUUGAGCUUGAGUUUGUGGUGUUUUUGAAUUUGAGUUUGCGUGUUUGUUAAACUUGAGUUUGUGUUUUUUUUAACUUGAGUUUGUUGUUUCUGAACUUGAGUUUGUGGCAAUUGUUGAACUUGAGUUUGUGGCAAUUGUUGAACUUGGGUUUGUGGUUUUUGUUGAACUUGAGUUUGUGGUGUUUUUGAACUUGAGGUUGUGGAAUUUGUUAAACUUGAGAAUUGGGUAUUGGUUGAAAUUGAGUUUGUGUGUUUGUUGAACUUGAGUUUGUGUCGUGUUUGAACUUGAGUUUAUGGUUUUUUUGAACUUGAGUUUGUGGUGUUUUUGAACUUGAGGUUGUUAGAAAUUGUUAAACUUGAAAAUUUGGUAUUGGUUGAACUUGAGUUUGUGUGUUUUUUGAACUUGAGUUUGUGUCGUGUUUGAACUUCGGUUUGUGGUGUUUUUUGAGCCUCAGGUUGUGGUGUUUUUGAACUUGAGGUUGUGUUGCUUUUGAACUUUAGGUUGUGGCAAUUUCUAAAAUUGAGAUUUGGGUGUUGGUUGAACUUAAAAGUUUGUGGGUUUUUUUUAACUUAAGUUUGUGUCGUGUUUGAACUUGAGGUUGUGGUGUUUUUGAGCUCGAGUAUUUGUGAUUGUUGAACUUAAGUUUGUGGUGUUUGAACUUGAGUUUGUGGUUUUUUUUAACUUGAGGUUGUGGUUUUUUGAACUUCAGUGUGUGGAAAUUGUUAAACAUGAGGAUUGGGUGUUGGUUGAACUUGAGUUUGUGGUGUUUGUUGAACUUGAGUUUGUGUCGUGUUUGAACUUGAGUUUGUGGUGUUUUUGAACUUGAGUUUUUGGUGUUCGUUGAACUUGAGUUUGUGUCGUGUUUGAACUUGAGUUUGUGGCGUUUUUUAACUUGAGUUUAUGGUGUUUUUGAACUUGAGUUUGUGUAGUGUUUGAACUUGAGGUUGUUGCAAUUGUUAAAUUGAGAUUUUGGUGUUGGUUGAACUUAAAACUUUGACGUUUGUUGAACUUGAGUUUGAGCUGUUUGUUUAACUUUAGUUUGUGUCGUUUUUGAACUUGAGUUUGUGGUGUUUUUGAACUUGAGUUUGUGGAAAUUGUUAAACUUGAGAAUCGGGUGUUGGUUCAACUUGGGUUUCUGUUGUUUUUGAACUUGAGGUUGUGGAAAUUGUUAAACUUGAGAAUCAGGGGUUGGUUGAACUUGAGUUUGUGUGUUUGUUGAACUUGAGUUUGUUUCGUGUUUGAACUCGAGUUUGUGUUGUUUUUGAACUUGAGUUUGUGUAGUGUUUGAACUUGAGUUUGUGGUGUUUUUUGAGCUUGAGGUUGUGGUGUUUUUGAGCUUGAGUUUGUGGCGUGUUUGAACUUGAGGUUGUGGAAAAACGUAAACUUGAGAUUUGGGUGUUAAUUGAACUUGAGUUUGUUUCGUGUUUGAUCUUGAGGUUGUGGUGUUUUUGAACUUGAGGUUUCUUGUUUGUUUAACUUGAGUUUGUGUGUUUUUUGAACUUGAGUUUGUUGUUUCUGAACUUGAGGUUUUGGCAAUUGUUGAACUUGAGUCUGUGGUUUUUAGUGAACUUUAGUUGGUUGCAAUUGUUGAACAUGAGUUUAUGGCGUUUGUUGAACUUGAGUUUGUGACGUGGAUCAACUUGAGUUUGUGUUAUUUUUGAACUUGAGGUUGUGGCAAUUUCUAAAAUUGAGAAUUCUGUGUUGGUUGAACUUAAAAGUUUGACAUUUGUUGAACUUGAGUGUGGUUUUUGUAGAACUUGAGUUUGUGUCGUGUUUGAACUUGAGGUUGUGGUGUUUUUGAACUCGAGUUUUUGUGUUUGUUGAACUUCAGUUUUUGGCGUGUUUGAACUUAAGUUUGUGGUUUUUUUAACUUGAGGUUGUGGUUUUUUGAACUUCAGUUUGUGGAAAUUUUUAAACUUGAGGAUUGGGUGGUGGUUGAACUUGAGUUUGUGGUGUUUUUUGAACUUGAGGUUGUGGUGUUUUUGACUUGAGUUCGUGGCGUGUUUGAACUUGAGGUUGUUGCAAUUGUUAAACUUGAGAUUUAGGUGUUGGUUGAACUUAAAACUUUGCCAUUUGUUGAACUUGAGUUUGUGGUGUAUGUUGAACUCCAGCUUGUGUUGUGUUUGAACUUGAAGUUGUGGUAUUUUUGAAUUGAGUUUGUGGCGGUUUUUGAACUCAAGUUUUAUGGCGUGUUUGAACUUGAGAUUGUGGCGUGUUUGAACUUGAGUUUGUGGUGGUUUUUGAACUUGAGGUUGUGAAAAUUGUUAAAACUUGAGAAUCAGGUGUUGUUGAACUUGAGUUUGUGGUUUUUGUUGAACUUGAGUUUGUGGUUUUUGUUGAACUUGAGUUUGUGUCGUUUUUGAGCUUGAGGUUGUGGUGUUUUUAAACUUGAGUUUGCGUGUUUGUUGAACUUGAGUUUGUGUGUUUUUUUAACUUGAGGUUGUGGCAAUUUCUAAAAUUGAGAUUUGGGUGUUGGUUGAACUUAAAAGUUUGACAUUUGUUGAACUUCAGUUUGUGGUUUUUGUUGAACUCGAGUUUGUAAUGUUUUUGAACUUGAGGUUGUGGAAAUUGUUAAACUUGAGAAUUGGGUAUUGGUUGAACUCGAGUUUUUGUGUUUGUUGAACUUGAGUUUGUGUCGUGUUUGAACUUCAGUUUGUGGUGUUUUUUGAACUUGAGGUUGUGGUUUUUUUGAACUUGAGUUUGUGGCGGUUUUUGAACUUGAGGUUGUGGCAAUUGUUGAACUUGAGUUUGUGACGUGUUUGAACUUGAGGUUGUGGUGUUUUUGAACUUGAGGUUUCUUGUUUGUUUAACUUGAAUUUGUGUGUUUUUUGAACUUGAGCUUGUUGUUUCUGAACUUGAGGUUUUGGCAAUUGUUGAACUUGAGUCUGUGGUUUUUAGUGAACUUUAGUUGGUUGCAAUUGUUGAACAUGAGUUUAUGGCGUUUGUUGAACUUGAGUUUGUGACGUGGAUGAACUUCAGUUUGUGUUAUUUUUGAACUUUAGGUUGUGGCAAUUUCUAAAAUUGAGAAUUGGGUGUUGGUUGAACUUAAAAGUUUGACUUUUGUUGAACUUGAGUGUGGUUUUUGUUGAACUUGAGUUUGUGUCGUGUUUGAACUUGAGGUUGUGGUGUUUUUGAACUCGAGUUUUUGUGUUUGAUGAACUUCAGUUUUUGGCGUGUUUGAACUUGAGUUUGUGGUUUUUUUAACUUGAGGUUGUGAAAAUUGUUAAAACUUGAGAAUCAGGUGUUGGUUGAACUUGAGUUUGUGGUUUCUGUUGAACUUGAUUUUGUGCUUUGAUUGAACUUUAGUUUAUGUUUUUUUGUACUUGAGUUUGUGGUGUUUUUUUAACUUGAGGUUGUGGAAAUUGUAAAAACGAGAAUCAGGUGUUGGUUGAACUUGAGUUUGUGGUUUUUGUUGAACUUGAUUUUGUUUGUUUUUUUAACUUGAGUUUCUUGUUUCUGAACUUGAGGUUUUGGCAAUUGUUGAACUUGAUAAUUGGGUAUUGGUUGAACUUGAGUUUGUGUGUUUGUUGAACUUGAGUUUGUGUCGUGUUUGAACUUCAGUUUGUGGUGUUUUUUGAACUUGAGGUUGUGGUGUUUUUGAACUUGAGUUUUUGGUGUUUUUGAACUUGAGGUUGUGGCAAUUGUUGAACUUGAGUUUGUGACGUGUUUGAACUUGAUUUUGUUGUGUUUUUGAACUCGAGUUCGUGUUGUUUUUGAACUUGAGUUUGUGGUGUUUGUUGAACUUGAGUUUGUGUCGUGUUUGAACUUGAGGUUGUGGUGUUUUUGAACUCGAGUUUUUGUGUUUGUUGAACUUGAGUUUGUGUCGUGUUUGAACUUGAGUUUGUGGUGUUUUUUGAACUUGAGGUUGUGGUGUUUUUGAACUUGAGUUUGUGGCGGUUUUUGAACUUGAGGUUGUUGCAAUUGUUGAACUUGAAAAUUGGGUAUUGGUUGAACUUGAGUUUGUGUCGUGUUUGAACUUGAGUUUUUGGUGUUUUUGAACUUGAGGUUGUGGCAAUUGUUGAACUUGAGUUUGUGACGUGUUUGAACUUGAUUUUGUGGUGUUUUUGAACUCGAGUUCGUGUUGUUUUUGAACUUGAGUUUGUGGCGGUUUUUGAACUUGAGGUUGUUGCAAUUGUUGAACUUGAAAAUUGGGUAUUGGUUGAACUUGAGUUUGUGUGUUUUUUGAACUUGAGGUUGUGGUGUUUUUUGAACUUGAGUUUUUGGUGUUUUUGAACUUGAGCUUGUGGCAAUUGUUGAACUUGAGUUUGUGACGUGUUUGAACUUGAUUUUGUUGUGUUUUUGAACUCGAGUUCGUGUUGUUUUUGAACUUGAGUU
rnacentral:lncRNA from 1 species